rnacentral:rRNA from 1 species
UACGGAGGGAGCUAGCGUUGUUCGGAAAUACUGGGCGUAAAGCGCACGUAGGCGGCGCAGCAAGUCAGGGGUGAAAUCCCGGGGCUCAACCCCGGAACUGCCCUUGAAACUGCAGUGCUAGAAUCUUGGAGAGGCGAGUGGAAUUCCGAGUGUAGAGGUGAAAUUCGUAGAUAUUGGAAGAAACACCAGUGGCGAAGGCGACUCGCUGGACAAGUAUUGACGCUGAGGUGCGAAAAGCGUGGGGGAGCAAACAGG